AUUGAACGCUGGCGGCAGGCCUAACACAUGCAAGUCGAGCGGAUGAGAGGAGCUUGCUCCUCGAUUCAGCGGCGGACGGGUGAGUAAUGCCUAGGAAUCUGCCCAGUAGUGGGGGACAACGUUUCGAAAGAAACGCUAAUACCGCAUACGUCCUACGGGAGAAAGUGGGGGAUCUUCGGACCUCACGCUAUUUGAUGAGCCUAGGUCGGAUUAGCAAGUUGGUAGGGUAAAGGCCUACCAAGGCGACGAUCCGUAACUGGUCUGAGAGGAUGAUCAGUCACACUGGAACUGUGACACGGUCCAGACUCCUACGGGAGGCAGCAGUGGGGAAUAUUGGACAAUGGGCGCAAGCCUGAUCCAGCCAUGCCGCGUGUGUGAAGAAGGCCCUCGGGUCGUAAAGCACUUUAAGUUGGGAGGAAGGGCUUACAGCGAAUACCUGUGAGUUUUGACGUUACCGACAGAAUAAGCACCGGCUAACUUCGUGCCAGCAGCCGCCGUAA
rnacentral:rRNA from 1 species